ACGCUGGCGGCAGGCCUAACACAUGCAAGUCGAGCGGUAGCACAGAGAGCUUGCUCUCGGGUGACGAGCGGCGGACGGGUGAGUAAUGUCUGGGAAACUGCCUGAUGGAGGGGGAUAACUACUGGAAACGGUAGCUAAUACCGCAUAACGUCGCAAGACCAAAGUGGGGGACCUUCGGGCCUCAUGCCAUCAGAUGUGCCCAGAUGGGAUUAGCUAGUAGGUGGGGUAAUGGCUCACCUAGGCGACGAUCCCUAGCUGGUCUGAGAGGAUGACCAGCCACACUGGAACUGAGACACGGUCCAGACUCCUACGGGAGGCAGCAGUGGGGAAUAUUGCACAAUGGGCGCAAGCCUGAUGCAGCCAUGCCGCGUGUGUGAAGAAGGCCUUCGGGUUGUAAAGCACUUUCAGCGGGGAGGAAGGCGUUGAGGUUAAUAACCUUGUCGAUUGACGUUACCCGCAGAAGAAGCACCGGCUAACUCCGUGCCAGCAGCCGCGGUAAUACGGAGGGUGCAAGCGUUAAUCGGAAUUACUGGGCGUAAAGCGCACGCAGGCGGUCUGUCAAGUCGGAUGUGAAAUCCCCGGGCUCAACCUGGGAACUGCAUUCGAAACUGGCAGGCUA
rnacentral:rRNA from 1 species